rnacentral:rRNA from 1 species
AACGAACGCUGGCGGCAGGCUUAACACAUGCAAGUCGAGCGCCCCGCAAGGGGAGCGGCAGACGGGUGAGUAACGCGUGGGAAUCUACCCAUCUCUACGGAAUAACGCAUGGAAACGUGUGCUAAUACCGUAUACGUCCUUCGGGAGAAAGAUUUAUCGGAGAUGGAUGAGCCGGCGUUGGAUUAGCUAGUUGGUGGGGUAAAGGCCUACCAAGGCGACGAUCCAUAGCUGGGUUGAGAGGAUGAUCAGCCACACUGGGCCUGAGACACGGCCCAGACUCCUACGGGAGGCGUCGGUGGGGAAAAUUGGACAAUGGGCGCAAGCCUGAACCAGCCAUGCCGCGUGAGUGAUGAAGGCCCUAGGGUUGUAAAGCUCUUUCACCGGUGUAGAUAAUGACGGUAACCGGAGAAGAAGCCCCGGCUAACUUCGUGCCAGCCGCCGCCGUAACAC